rnacentral:rRNA from 1 species
GCAGGCCUAACACAUGCAAGUCGAGCGGAUGACGGGAGCUUGCUCCUUGAUUCAGCGGCGGACGGGUGAGUAAUGCCUAGGAAUCUGCCUGGUAGUGGGGGACAACGUUUCGAAAGGAACGCUAAUACCGCAUACGUCCUACGGGAGAAAGCAGGGGACCUUCGGGCCUUGCGCUAUCAGAUGAGCCUAGGUCGGAUUAGCUAGUUGGUGGGGUAAUGGCUCACCAAGGCGACGAUCCGUAACUGGUCUGAGAGGAUGAUCAGUCACACUGGAACUGAGACACGGUCCAGACUCCUACGGGAGGCAGCAGUGGGGAAUAUUGGACAAUGGGCGAAAGCCUGAUCCAGCCAUGCCGCGUGUGUGAAAAAGGUCUUCGGAUUGUAAAGCACUUUAAGUUGGGAGGAAGGGCAGUAAGUUAAAUACCUUGCUUUUUUGACGUUACCGAAAAAAAUAAGCACCGGCUAACUCUUGUGCCAGCAGCCGCGUUAAAUUACCUUCGGCCCCCCCCCCCCGCCUUAAUGG